AUCUUAGUACAUAUUUUGAUGAGGCAUUUUCUUCUUGCAGACAGGCAACACCACAGCGAAAGAGGAAAGCAAACAAGACUGUUGUUGCUCGAAAGGAAAGGAAGCCACAAGUUCUUAAAGAGAAAACAUAUAAAGGCUACACAAAGAAAUCAUGGCUGAGAAGUAUUCCGUUGCAGCAGUGCAAGUUCGUGACAAAAUUAUGGACAUACAGAAGCCUUCCCGAAAUAGAGACUUCUUUGACAAGUUGUGUACUUCCUUGUGUACUCGCCUGUGGUGAUCUCAACAAGUUGUAUUAUACACAUGUAAAGAACAGUUUGUAAGCUCUUAAACCAUUGUACAGAAUUUGGUAGGUAUUUAGGACACAUUUUGUUGUUGUUGUUUAAGACAGAAGUGUAUAAAAGCAUCCUUGUAGGAAAUUUGGAUGUAAUUAUUUUUUUUGAGUUAUGCUCAUGUUGAAAUCAAAUCAUUUUCUGUGUAUUUUAUGCUGAGAAAUAUGCUGUUACAGCAUAGCAAGUUCGUGAUAAAAUUAGGGACAUACUGAAGCCUUCCUGAAAGUGACUUUUUAGGUCAGUGCACAACCUUGGUGCAAAUGUAAAUGACCACAAGAAGUUAUGUAGUACAUGUAAAGAACAGUUUGUAAAAUUUAAUGUAAUGAUUUUUAGGAGUAAUGCUUAUCUUAAAGUCAAAUUAAUGCAUUUAAACCUAUUCAUUCAUUAUGUGUAGGAUUGUCAAGAAAUGGAGGUGGAAGGCUGGGAUAUAAGCUCACUUUUUAUUUCGAUAAAACUCAGAUUUGGCAUAUUGAUGUUUUGGGGAAAAUUAUUGUACAGAUAAUUGAAUUUCUUUAAAAUUUAAGAAUACAUGAAUACAUCAC